ACGCCUGCACCUGAAGGACGCAUGGAAACCUGUGGGAAUCUGCUGGAUUAUUACCUGAGUGGCACAGAGCGAUGUCAUGGAUUAUUAAAGGUCAGUCCCUUCAUUUGAAUGAAUUUAAUGAAUUACAUGUCUGUUUCUGUUAACUACGCGUGUCUGAGAAUAACAGUAGCUAAAUGUUAUUGACAGAAUUCCAUUCACAUAGUUUGUAAUCAGAGAGAAACUGACCGACUUUACCUGGAAAAUCAAUCGGUUUAUUGUAUCCAGCUCAGAUGCUGUAAACGAGCCUGUUAUUAGAUGGCUUCAGACAACGUGUCAUUAAAGUGUAGCCCGUUCUCUGUGGCCUGCAGAUGGACCCUGGCUGACAGCUGGUACCUGGUGUGUCGUCCUGCAGCAGAGGCUGGCAGGGUCUCCGUGUGUCUGGAGGGUUACAGUCACUCAGUCAUGCAGGACGCGUCGCUGCUUGGAUUGUUACAAACAAACGUCGCUUCCCAAUCAGCUGUGGGUGAGUCAGAGACAAAGAAGCACGUCUCUCCUGUGGUCGCGCCCUUUUUAUAGUGUUUUCGACUACUCUGGACCCCACUGUAAGUAAUAGCUCUUGUAAUUGUUUUGUUUUUUUCAAGUCAAAAUGCAUAUUUUGUCUUCAGCUUGUGUUGUAUGCUAGAUUAGAUGCAGCACCUUACAUUAUAAUAUAUGGCAUUGGAAAACUUAACCAAUAAGAUAAAAUACAACCUUAACACAGAAUUAAUGUUGGAGUGUAGGGGUCCUAACAGUUCAUUUAUAUAAGGGACCGGCCAGCAUCCUGUCUGGAAGUAGAAAAUACAUAUUUCAUCUUUAUUUUCAGCUUCUGUGGUGUCAUAAGUCAUUGCGGGUUUGACUGUAGCAGCGCUGUCUCUAUUAAAUCUCAUGGGCUAUUAAUUUCUGCUGGGUUAGCAGCGUGUUGACCCGUACAGGUCCCUGAGGACUCUCUAAUAACAGCUAAUGGGCUGUUAAAGUAGAGGGCGGAGCGUCUCCGCUCAGGGCCGCGCGCUCGGGGCUCACCGCCAAUUACUUCUCAUGGAACGGGAGAAGCCGAGCGCUGAUUUGGCGUGUAGCGCGCGGGUGCGUGUGAAAGCACACCUGCCUGCGUGUGCGUCUGUCAGUCAGGGUCUUCUUCCACCCGGCGAGCUGCGUGCAGGCAGUCAUUAGCAGCACAAGCCUGUCAUUAAGCCCGUCAGUCCCUCUCCCCACCAGCUGACCUGCUGAUUUGGACAGCUUCUGUACUUAACCCCCGAACCCCGAUUCCACGGGUGACUCAACAUGGUGUGUGUGUGUGUGUGUGUGUGUGUGUGUGUGUGUGUGUGUGUGUGUGUGUGUGUGUGUGUGUGUGUGUGUGUGUGUGUGUGUGUGUGUGUGUGUGUGUGUGUGUGUGUGUGUGU
ensembl:lncRNA